GCUGAAUUUGCCAGUUCCCGUAUAAUCACCGAAGUUAAGCAACAUCGAGCCCGCUCAGUACUUUGAUUGGUAACCGCUUGGGAAUGGCAGUGUUGUAA